GACGAACCGUCCGAACGUUAUUCGGUAUCACUGGGCUGAAAGCGUGCGUAGGCGGUCUGGUAGGUGGGGUGUGAAAUCCCUCGGCUCAACCGAGGAAUAGCGCUCCAAACCCCUAGACUUGAGGAAGACAGGGGUGAGUGGAACCGUUGGUGGAGCGGUGAAAUGUGUUGAUAUCAACAGGAACACCGGUGGCGAAAGCGACUCACUGGGUCUUUUCUGACGCUGAGGCACGAAAGCCAGGGGAGCGAACGGG
rnacentral:misc_RNA from 1 species